UACGAAGGGGGCUAGCGUUGUUCGGAUUUACUGGGCGUAAAGCGCACGUAGGCGGCUUGUUAAGUCAGAGGUGAAAUCCCAGGGCUCAACCCUGGAACUGCCUUUGAUACUGGCAAGCUCGAGUAUGGUAGAGGUUGGUGGAACUCCGAGUGUAGAGGUGAAAUUCGUAGAUAUUCGGAAGAACACCAGUGGCGAAGGCGGCCAACUGGACCAUUACUGACGCUGAGGUGCGAAAGCGUGGGGAGCAAACAGG
rnacentral:rRNA from 1 species